rnacentral:tRNA from 1 species
GCCCCCGUAGCUCAGUUGGAUAGAGCACAGCUUUCCUAAAGCUGGGGUCGCAGGUUCGAAUCCUGCCGGGGGUA